rnacentral:rRNA from 1 species
UACGUAGGCAGCAAGCGUUGUUCGGAAUUACUGGGCGUAAAGAGUGUGUAGGCGGUGCUCUAAGUUUGGUGUGAAAUCUCCCGGCUUAACUGGGAGGGUGCGCCGAAAACUGGAAUGCUCGAGCGUGGGAGAGGAAAGCGGAAUUCCUGGUGUAGCGGUGAAAUGCGUAGAUAUCAGGAGGAACACCAGCGGUGUAGACGGCUUUCUGGACCAUUGCUGACGCUGAGACACGAAAGCGUGGGUAGCAAACAGG